AAAACUGACUUAUUCAUAAAAUGUAUUGCGAUUACACUUUCAUUAUAACUAAUCGGUUGUUGCUCAAAAUUUGUAUAUCACAAAUUCAAUUUUGGAUAGUUUUGGGUUGCCAAUAUACAUACUUGGACUAAAACUCAAUUAUUCAUGCUCUGUAUAAAAAGUUUGCUGUUGUUGGAAUUGUGUUGGAAGGGGAUGCCAAAGCGAAUUUCAAAAGCUUUUAGAUGGCGGUGUAAUGAGUAUUUACAAUUAAAAGCGUCUUUUUGUGAAUAGACCGCUUAAAUAUUUAAAAUCGCCUCAAAUUUAAUUGUUUGUUUGCCGGACAUUUGAUUUCAGAUCGUUUUCCAUUGGAAAUUGGUAAGUUUGAAUGAGAAAAAAUUUGUUUUGUUCUGCCGUCUGGAAAUAACGAUUCUUGUUUUGUUUUUUUUUCUAGGUCACAACUCGAAGGGAAUCUCCGAAAAAGGAUGAAACCAUUGGAUAAAUAUGGUUAUGAGAGGUAAUGUGGUUGUUUUUGGGCGGCUAUCAGAAUCCGGAAGAUGGAUGAAAAAGGUGCACCAGCCGUCGGCGUACAUACAUAUAGAAUUUCGAAGAAAAAAACAUUCAGACCAACCGGAAACCCCCUGACUCAUUAUUUUCCAUCUUCAGAGGGCCGAUUGUCCGGAAGGCGGUUAAUGGCGCUAAGAUUGGUUUUGGAUAGUUUCUGUUCCGAGUGGCUGCCGGAGAAAAGCUAUUGAAGGUGCUUGGAAAUUAUUCAAUGCACUAAUUCAGAGCAGAGGAGGAAGAGCUUUUUUAUCGGGCCAGAUUCCAUGAUCCCUACUUCAAUCCAUGCUAGAGCGUGCGGAAGCAAAUCCGUACUGGAUGUUGAGGCCGAUCGAGAUGAAAAUUGCGGAAACCAAGACGAACAGCCGUAUAGCCCUGAAUUUUUUGCCUAAUAUCUAGGCUGCUACUGCCUAUUCCUAUAUUUGCCAUGAAAAGGUAGGAAAAAAAACUCGUAGGAGUGUA